GUGGAAGCACAGGACAGUCAGUGAAGCAAACAACUGGCAUUGUGACUGUUACUGAAGGACAACCGGUUUAUCUCAAUUGUUCUUAUGAAACAGGGUUUAGUACUUCAUAUGUCAUAUCCUGGUACAUUCAGCCUCCUGGUCAGCCCCCAAAACACCUUCUGAAUUCAUAUUUGGAAACAGCUGAAGGAUUCCAAGCUACUUACAAUGACGAUAAAAAAGAGAAAAGGGGGACUUUCAACAUGCAGAAACCAGAUGUCCAAUUGAAAGAGUCUGCUGUCUACUUCUGUGCCUUCAGUGACACCGUGAGACAAAGUAGAGGAGAAGCCAACUAA